rnacentral:rRNA from 1 species
AUGGAACCAGCAAUAGAAUUAUGUAUCAGUACUUUAGUAACCAGAUGUACAUCCUACAGUAUUCCAACAAAGCAGAGAAAGGUCACCACUGGAGAAUGUGCGUUCCUGCUCGGAAAGCAUUACUCGCUAAACUGCCAGGAUUUUACAUCCACAUUUUCCAUGCUUGGUUUUACCGGAUUAACUAGGCACUCUCCAGUUUUGUUCUGCCGGACAAACCCAGACCUCACUGAAUAUGUGCAAGCUGAACAAGGAAAUCAAUUGCUAAUUGUACCAAUCAACCACUACAGCAACUGGCAUUUGACUGUGUAA